CUGUUCCUCUUCUCGGACGUGCUCCUAGUAACCAAACCUCAACGCAAGGUGGACAAAGCCAAGGUCAUCCGUCCUCCUCUCAUGCUGGAGAAACUCGUGUGCCGACCACUUCGAGACCCUCGUAUGUCUCUUCUCCAGAGGAGGAAGAGUCGGGAUUGGGGUCAGAUAAGACCCAGACCUUAAAGCAGAGCUUCUUCUCCAUGCAGACAGCUUCCUGCUGAUCCACCUCACGGAAUUCCAGUGUGUCUCCAGUGCCCUCACCGUGCACUGUUCC
rnacentral:lncRNA from 1 species